rnacentral:rRNA from 1 species
UACGUAGGGUGCGAGCGUUGUCCGGAAUUAUUGGGGCGUAAAGAGCUUGUAGGCGGUUUGUCGCGUCUGCUGUGAAAUCCAGGCUCAACCCCGGACUUGCAGUGGGUACGGGCAGACUAGAGUGUGGGUAGGGGAGACUGGAAUUCCGUGGGUGAUAGCGGUGGAAUGCGCAGAUAUCGAGGAGGGAACACCGGUGGCGAAGGCGGGUCUCUGGGCGAACACGUGACGCUGGAGGAGCGAAAGCGUGGGGAGCGAACAGG